GUGUCCUCUGUUUAACCAAAGUCAGUCUCGUUGUGCUGAUGAGAAGGACCACUUAAAGUAUAAUGUAGUAUAGCAGCUCUCUUAGCUUGACAAGGUCAGCGUGAUCCAGCCAAACCAACACAGCGAAUGUGAAAGAACUCAUCUGGGACGACAUAGAUCUCUCCGUCUUUCUCGGUCUGAGUGGUCGACUCCAGGCUCUUACCACAUUUUGCACAGCGGAAGCAGUUCUUGUGCCACGGCUACGAGGAGAAAGAGAGAACUUUGAUCGGAUACCUUCCUACUACAGCAUUCAGAUCAUUCUGUAAAAACUCUUAGUGGUGGAUAUCUGAUUUUGGAAUGAAACUGAAGCUCUUUCUGUACCAGAACCUCCCGUUUUCUGCCAGUGGUGGGAAAGUGAGAACCGCGGCCCCGGAGCGAUGCUUAUCAGAGGGUGACCGCCAGCUCCAGUGGCCCCUGAAUGAAACCCUUUGUGGCCAGAGGACAGAGAGGACGGAGAGGAGGGAGAGGAGGGAGAGGAGGGAGAGCGCGAUCCUGCUGGUUGCAUAAUAAACUCUUUCAUAACCGUCACCACCUGACGUCUGAGGCAGGAGUAGGUGACUCAGGCGUUCACCAAACCAGCUGGGAACUGCUGAAGCCAAGCUGGAGAGGCUGGAGAAGACUAAAAGAUGUAUGUCAAGGUUCCUUUCCUUUCCCACAGGUUUGCGGUUGAGGCAGUGGGAACCAGAGAAGGAUGCAGGGGGAAGGGCAGAAGCAGCGGUUUCAAACACAGUUUUGACCCACUUUUGAAAAAGUGAAGCCAAAAUAUCCCAGAUACAUGAGCCGCCGUCUGAUUCUGACAUCAUUUGGAGCCGGAGUCUGCGCGGUAGUGAUCGGGUUGCCAAUCACGAGGCGAGCACAGCCACAGUUUGUUAGCGUGAGCCACCUAGCUGCUACGUUAACACCACUGUAGCUGUUUGGCUACAGCCCAACUACAUUUAUGAUCAAAUGUUCUAUUACACAGACUGGUGACGGUUAUAGAAAGUUAAAAUUACAUCUCCUCUCUUGUACAAUUCAGAGCCUCCGGCUGCACGACUACUUCACUCAGAGCAGCUGUCAAUCACAGCUGUCAAUCAUGACGUCUCACCCCCCUUUAAAAACAAACUUAUAUCAGAAAAUGAAUA